UUGGGAAUAUUGGACAAUGGACGAAAGUCUGAUCCAGUGACGCCGCGUGAGGGAAGAAGGUCUUCGGAUUGUAAACCUAUUUUGUCAGGGAAGAAAUAAAUGACUGUACCUGAAGAAGAAGGACCGGCUAACUACGUGCCAGCAGCCGCGGUAAUACGUAGGGUCCAAGCGUUAUCCGGAUUUAUUGGGUGUAAAGGGCGAGUAGACGGUGUUACAAGUCAGAUGUGAAAACUCAGGGCUCAACCUUGAGACUGCAUCUGAAACUGUAAUACUAGAGUGCAGGAGAGGAAAGUGGAAUUCCUAGUGUAGCGGUGAAAUGCGUAGAUAUUAGGAGGAACACCAGUGGCGAAGGCGACUUUCUGGACUGUAACUGACGUUGAGGCGCGAAAGUGUGGGGAGC
rnacentral:rRNA from 1 species